rnacentral:snRNA from 2 species
AUACUUACCUGGACGGGGUCGACGGCUGAUCAAGAAGAGCCGUGGCCUAGGCUAGUGGUCCACAUUGCAUUUGGUGGAUGCGCUGGCUUACCAUCUCCCCAAGUGGGAGAGUGGACCUGCGC